GCAUUCUGGGAAGCGGAGUUCCAGCCUUUCUUUUUCCGCGGGAGGGAAUGAAAGGGAGGGUGAGAACCGUUAGUUAUUUCUUUCUUUGGUCGUGCCCCUAAUCAGGUCCAGGAUUCGAGUUUGUGUUCUUUCGUUUUAAUUCCUUUUAAAGCGCGUUCGUUUGCCUGAGAUCUAGCUUCUAGAUGGCGUUCCUAUAGCCUCCCGGAGCCCCAGCCAUCCUCCGUAGAAGGGUCCCUGCCGCAGUGCGGGGCCUGAGGGAAGUCGGCUCUGGCGUCCGUGCUCGCAACGCUGGGAGCAGCCCUGAAACUCCAGUGACCCUCAGCCCUCUGCCUUUGUUUUGGGGUGGUGGAUGUGCCCAAGACACAGGGAAGAAAAAGAAGUAAACAGGGAAGUACAACACAGACUCUGAAAUGGGGCAUCAUGGAAGAUGGAGCUUUGUCGUCUUGGUCUUUGCUAUAUAUUCACUUCCUACUACAGUGCUAAAUACCUUGUGGAUGCUUAAAUAUAUUAACUGAAUGCAUAAAUGAAAAGAGUAAAUAAAGAGUGUAUAUGAAA